GAUGAACGCUGGCGGCGUGCCUAAUACAUGCAAGUCGAGCGAACGGACGAGAAGCUUGCUUCUCUGAUGUUAGCGGCGGACGGGUGAGUAACACGUGGAUAACCUACCUAUAAGACUGGGAUAACUUCGGGAAACCGGAGCUAAUACCGGAUAAUAUUUUGAACCGCAUGGUUCAAAAGUGAAAGACGGUCUUGCUGUCACUUAUAGAUGGAUCCGCGCUGCAUUAGCUAGUUGGUAAGGUAACGGCUUACCAAGGCAACGAUGCAUAGCCGACCUGAGAGGGUGAUCGGCCACACUGGAACUGAGACACGGUCCAGACUCCUACGGGAGGCAGCAGUAGGGAAUCUUCCGCAAUGGGCGAAAGCCUGACGGAGCAACGCCGCGUGAGUGAUGAAGGUCUUCGGAUCGUAAAACUCUGUUAUUAGGGAAGAACAUAUGUGUAAGUAACUGUGCACAUCUUGACGGUACCUAAUCAGAAAGCCACGGCUAACUACGUGCCAGCAGCCGCGGUAAUACGUAGGUGGCAAGCGUUAUCCGGAAUUAUUGGGCGUAAAGCGCGCGUAGGCGGUUUUUUAAGUCUGAUGUGAAAGCCCACGGCUCAACCGUGGAGGGUCAUUGGAAACUGGAAAACUUGAGUGCAGAAGAGGAAAGUGGAAUUCCAUGUGUAGCGGUGAAAUGCGCAGAGAUAUGGAGGAACACCAGUGGCGAAGGCGACUUUCUGGUCUGUAACUGACGCUGAUGUGCGAAAGCGUGGGGAUCAAACAGGAUUAGAUACCCUGGUAGUCCACGCCGUAAACGAUGAGUGCUAAGUGUUAGGGGGUUUCCGCCCCUUAGUGCUGCAGCUAACGCAUUAAGCACUCCGCCUGGGGAGUACGACCGCAAGGUUGAAACUCAAAGGAAUUGACGGGGACCCGCACAAGCGGUGGAGCAUGUGGUUUAAUUCGAAGCAACGCGAAGAACCUUACCAAAUCUUGACAUCCUUUGACAACUCUAGAGAUAGAGCCUUCCCCUUCGGGGGACAAAGUGACAGGUGGUGCAUGGUUGUCGUCAGCUCGUGUCGUGAGAUGUUGGGUUAAGUCCCGCAACGAGCGCAACCCUUAAGCUUAGUUGCCAUCAUUAAGUUGGGCACUCUAAGUUGACUGCCGGUGACAAACCGGAGGAAGGUGGGGAUGACGUCAAAUCAUCAUGCCCCUUAUGAUUUGGGCUACACACGUGCUACAAUGGACAAUACAAAGGGCAGCGAAACCGCGAGGUCAAGCAAAUCCCAUAAAGUUGUUCUCAGUUCGGAUUGUAGUCUGCAACUCGACUACAUGAAGCUGGAAUCGCUAGUAAUCGUAGAUCAGCAUGCUACGGUGAAUACGUUCCCGGGUCUUGUACACACCGCCCGUCACACCACGAGAGUUUGUAACACCCGAAGCCGGUGGAGUAACCUUUUAGGAGCUAGCCGUCGAAGGUGGGACAAAUGAUUGGGGUGAAGUCGUAACAAGGUAGCCGUAUCGGAAGGUGCGGCUGGAUCACCUCCUUU
rnacentral:rRNA from 1 species